rnacentral:rRNA from 1 species
UACGUAGGGGGCAAGCGUUGUCCGGAUUUAUUGGGCGUAAAGAGCUCGUAAGCGGUUUGUCGCGUCUGCUGUGAAAACCCGAGGCUCAACCUCGGGCCUGCAGUGGGUACGGGCAGACUAGAGUGCGGUAGGGGAGAUUGGAAUUCCUGGUGUAGCGGUGGAAUGCGCAGAUAUCAGGAGGAACACCAAUGGCGAAGGCAGAUCUCUGGGCCGUAACUGACGCUGAGGAGCGAAAGCAUGGGGAGCGAACAGG